CUUAACAAAAAAGAACGACGUUUGCUAUUGAUUCAUCACCCCCCACAGCUGGAAGUUUGAAAGGCACGUUCAAAGAGUUUUUGCUUAAACCAAACUAAAAAAUGUAAGCAGUGAUUUGAAGAUACUAGCCCAAUCCUCAUCUGGGAUCCUUGCUUUGCUCUUCCCAAACUGCCCUAGACAAGGGGAGCCCCACGCCCUGGGAGCAUCGAUUCCAGGUGAUGGCUUCCAAGUGGAGUUUUUGCCACUCCAAAGGUAGUUUUGCAGGAGCAGAGCCUCCGAAGCCAGAAA